rnacentral:snoRNA from 1 species
ACGAUGAGGACACUCGAGUAUGUAGUCUUGAAAGCACUCCCAAGCUUCUGGAACUGUCUCAUCAUGUUGUUGUUGAAAGCUUGAAGCUUGAUAUCU